rnacentral:lncRNA from 1 species
AGCGUUUGGGGCAGAUGUACGUGGGAAAGGAGCAUACAAGUUGAAAUAGCAUAUGGUAAAAUAAAAGAAUAAACUGCAGCUGAUAACUUUCAAAAUUUUGCUAUAUUUGGAUGUCCACUUUUCUUUAAAAAAGCAAAACAAACAAACCUGGCUGUCUUUCAAUGGAAGAGCCCCUUCAUUUACAAAGUUGUCACUUGCAAUCUUUUUUUCUUUAAAGCCAAACACUUGGAAGGAAUUCCUAGAUAAGGUAGGUGUGGACCAAAAUAGUCCUUGACAGCCCCACAAUUCACUCAUUUCCUAACAUAGCUGGCUGUGCACUGUAUUUUAGCCUAAACAAUAAGGUCAUUGUUCGGACAAGAAAACAUGCCCAGUUUAUUUAAAGGUUAGCAGGACUCGAAAGCUAUAGGCACUAGCCAGGCUUUGGCAUGUUCGGUUUUUUGUCAUCGCAGGUAAAAUGUUCUCAAAAUGUCCACAGCUAUGUGCAAUUGAUAGAAAUAUCAUCAGAAUCCUACCGCACGUAUUCUCAACCAUGAACAAGGCAUGGGUUGCUAGCAUUUGCACGCACACAUGCAAAUUGUUGCCAGUGGUCUAGUUCUGACUGUAAGCAGGAUGUUGACUUGGUGUGUACAUUUUCCCCACUAAGGUCAAGUCUAAAAAUACUCCAGAAUAACUUCUUUUUGCCCUUCAUGAACUGUUUGGCAUUCAAGGAGUCUGAGUCUCGCUAUAGAAGACAUUUCCCUGUAUUAUGGAAAACUUAACAAGGGGCUUUAAAUCUGGAGGGCACCUGUAUUCUUCUCUCUUCCAUAAAUCUUUCCAAAGAUAUAUGCACCUGAAUCAAAACAGGAUUGAAUUAGAACACAUUUGGGGGAGGGGAGGGAAUGUCUUAUAACAAAUCAUGUUCCUGAAAGUAAGAACAAAAUUAUUU